rnacentral:misc_RNA from 1 species
GAUGAAGAACGUAGCGAAAUGCGAUAAGUAAUGUGAAUUGCAGAAUUCAGUGAAUCAUCGAAUCUUUGAACGCACAUUGCGCCCCCUGGUAUUCCGGGGGGCAUGCCUGUUCGAGCGUCAUUUCACCACUCAAGCCUCGCUUGGUAUUGGGCAUCGCGGUCCGCCGCGCGCCUCAAAUCGACCGGCUGGGUCUUCUGUCCCCUAAGCGUUGUGGAAACUAUUCGCUAAAGGGUGUUCGGGAGGCUACGCCGUAAAACAACCCCAUUUCUAAGGUUGACCUUGGAUCAGGUAGGGAUACCCGCUGAACUUAAGCAUAUCAAUAAGCGGAGGA